UACGUAGGGGGCAAGCGUUAUCCGGAAUUAUUGGGCGUAAAGCGCGCGCAGGCGGUUUCUUAAGUCUGAUGUGAAAGCCCACGGCUCAACCGUGGAGGGUCAUUGGAAACUGGGGAACUUGAGUGCAGAAGAGAAAAGCGGAAUUCCACGUGUAGCGGUGAAAUGCGUAGAGAUGUGGAGGAACACCAGUGGCGAAGGCGGCUUUUGGUCUGUAACUGACGCUGAGGCGCGAAAGCGUGGGGAGCAAACAGG
rnacentral:rRNA from 1 species